CACCUGCCCAAGACAUACAAUUUUAUCCGUGAUUUUGCAUGGAAUAGUUGAAUAUUUUUUAAAUUGUUAAUCCUUGAAAUCGUAGUUAUGAAGUCUAGUGUAAUUUUGGCUAGGGUAAAGCGGGAGCGCAAUAAAAGCUCGCUCUCUCGCUCCUAGCGAAAUCUGCCCGCUUUGCCACCGAAGGUUAGCUACACAUUUUUUCGUCCCGCCCAAUAAAUUUCAAACUACAGGCACCAAAAGUUUUCUGUUCUUCAUUUUAGAAAAACUCUUCUGAUUUUGAAACCUUCUACAGUUCUGCUACGUAUAUAGACGCACGCUCCAGUGACUCUCAUGGAGGCGUCUGCAAAGGCAUGUACUUGAAUCGGUGACAUGGGAUCAGUAUGCAUAAAUCGAGUUCAUUGGAAUUGACUCAUCCCAAAAUAGCAUGUUUAGCCAAAGCUCCUGCAUUAAGACCUUUGCCUUAAUUACUAAAGGACUAGACUAGGGGGGCAAACAGCUUUGAUGUCACCGAUAAUAUGUUCCAUUUUGUCGCUCUGAGUCCGACAUAGUCCUCAUUCAGGAGCCCUGGGUCCUCGGAAACAGGGUCUCUGGUCGAGUACUCCUGACUAUAAGCUAUACGUAGCUGACACCGCAGCAAUGAAGACCAAACAGCAGUGUGCCUCGAAGGCCAGGGGUGCUCACAGGCGCUCAGGGCGCUAAUAACAGACUGCGAGGCAAAGGACAACGGCCUAACCGUAGGAUGCUACGCCAAUGCACACCACUGCCAGUGGGGAAGCCCUGACACCAACGAAAGGGGUGAGUACCUU